UACGUAGGGUCCGAGCGUUGUCCGGAAUUACUGGGCGUAAAGAGCUCGUAGGUGGUUUGUCGCGUUGUUCGUGAAAACUCACAGCUCAACUGUGGGCGUGCGGGCGAUACGGGCAGACUAGAGUACUGCAGGGGAGACUGGAAUUCCUGGUGUAGCGGUGGAAUGCGCAGAUAUCAGGAGGAACACCGGUGGCGAAGGCGGGUCUCUGGGCCACUACUGACGCUGAGAAGCGAAAGCGUGGGGAGCGAACAGG
rnacentral:rRNA from 1 species